GGUUGAACGGGUUGAAAGUCAUUUGGACAAUAUUCAAACUUGUAAAACUGGCAAUCUGCUUUACUAAAAAGAUUAAUAUGGCUUUUAAUAUUUAACAUUGGGCAUGUUGUUCGGGUACUGCUUUUCAUAAAACAUAGGUAUUAAGUUACUAUGAUACUAUAUUCGAGUUUUCUGUUUCUAUCCUCUAUGUUGUUUUCAUAUAAUCAUUGCUACUUUAAGUAUCUAAAUAUGCUUAUCUAAUUAAUUAGGGUUUAAAUAAUCAGUCCAGGGUUUGAAUUUGGUAUUAUCCUAUUAAUUGGUUUUAGUUUGAAUCAGAAGCAUCUAAUUAAAGGUAGAUUCGUCAACAUGUGUCGUAUAUUCAAGUAAGAUUCUCUGUUAUUAACCCUGGAUUUGAAGUUUUAUGGUUUUGUUUCAUUUCGAUUUUAGGUUUGCUAACGAAGGAAUGAGUUCCAUUAUUAGCUAGAAUUUCAAUUCUGGUGAGGUCUGUAGGGAUAAACAUAAGCAGCCUUGGAUUUGGAAGGAUGUUAGUCAUGUCAAGGGGUGAGUUUUGUGCUUAAAGACGCCACCUCGCAUAUUGUGAAUGAUCUUCCGUAAAAGCUCCAAGGUUUUGUCCUCGAAAUCAAUGAAAGGCAAAUAUAAAUAACACAAGGCUUAAGAAGUUGGAAGAGAACUCAGAGUAAUCAAAGUGAAAUUUCGAACCUCAUUUAUGAUGUCGCAACUAUAUUAAACUACGGAUACAAAGAGUUUCUUUGGCUUGGCCGUGGCUAGCUGAAGAGUAAAAGAAAUAGAAAUGAUGAUUGCUACUUGUACAAAACUAAAAAAAUGUAAGUCAUAGUCAUGUUACUCUUUGAUUGCCAUUUGUAAACUCAAUUUUUCUUUGACUGCGAAA